AUUGAACGCUGGCGGUAUGCUUAACACAUGCAAGUCGAACGAUGAGAAAGAGCUUGCUCUUUCGAUUAGUGGCGGACGGGUGCGUAACGCGUAGGAAUCUACCUAUUAGUGGGGGACAACUUAGGGAAACUUAAGCUAAUACCGCAUACGCCCUACGGGGGAAAGAAGGGGAUCGCAAGACCUUUUGCUAAUAGAUGAGCCUGCGUAGGAUUAGCUAGUUGGUGGGGUAAAAGCUCACCAAGGCGACGAUCCUUAACUGGUUUGAGUGAAUGAUCGGUUACACUGAAACUGAGACACUAUCCAGACUCCUACGGGAGGCAGCCAUGGGGAACAGUGGACAAUGGGAGAAAGCCUGUUCCAGCAAUACCCGGUGUGUGAAAAAGGCCUUAGGGUUGUAAAGCACUUUCAAUUAGAAGGAAAACCUCGAAGCUAAUACCCUCGAGUUUUACAUUACCUUUAGAAGAAGCACCGGCUAACUCCGUGCCAGCCGCCGCCGUAA
rnacentral:rRNA from 1 species